GCAUCCUAAUGAUACAAUAAUCUCUACAGGGCUAAAGCCCAGACUAGAGCAUGGAACAAGUACAGAGAAACAGGUAUACAGUGUUCAAUGUCACAGGAGAGGAAAACCUAAAACUCUGUGGAAGUUCAGGUAGAAAGAGAAGAAAAGCAAGUCCAGUUUAUCUGACACACACUGAGGAACCUAAACAUCGACAGGAAACCAAGAUUGGAGAACUCCAGUAUAAAGCACUCUAGGAAAAGACUUACUCUAAAACUGUAUGUAACUAUCUAAAUAAUCUAAACUGAAACAGAUUUCUGACCUAAGGAGAGGGUAAGUGAUUAAAAAAAA